CGGCGCGCCUAACACAUGCAAGUCGAACGAGCGAGAGAGAGCUUGCUUUCUCGAGCGAGUGGCGAACGGGUGAGUAACGCGUGAGGAACCUGCCUCAAAGAGGGGGACAACAGUUGGAAACGACUGCUAAUACCGCAUAAGCCCACGGGUCGGCAUCGACCAGAGGGAAAAGGAGCAAUCCGCUUUGAGAUGGCCUCGCGUCCGAUUAGCUAGUUGGUGAGGUAACGGCCCACCAAGGCAACGAUCGGUAGCCGGACUGAGAGGUUGAACGGCCACAUUGGGACUGAGACACGGCCCAGACUCCUACGGGAGGCAGCAGUGGGGAAUAUUGCACAAUGGGGGAAACCCUGAUGCAGCGACGCCGCGUGGAGGAAGAAGGUCUUCGGAUUGUAAACUCCUGUUGUUGAGGAAGAUAAUGACGGUACUCAACAAGGAAGUGACGGCUAACUACGUGCCAGCAGCCGCGGUAAAACGUAGGUCACAAGCGUUGUCCGGAAUUACUGGGUGUAAAGGGAGCGCAGGCGGGAAGACAAGUUGGAAGUGAAAUCCAUGGGCUCAACCCAUGAACUGCUUUCAAAACUGUUUUUCUUGAGUAGUGCAGAGGUAGGCGGAAUUCCCGGUGUAGCGGUGGAAUGCGUAGAUAUCGGGAGGAACACCAGUGGCGAAGGCGGCCUACUGGGCACCAACUGACGCUGAGGCUCGAAAGUGUGGGUAGCAAACAGGAUUAGAUACCCUGGUAGUCCACACCGUAAACGAUGAUUACUAGGUGUUGGAGGAUUGACCCCUUCAGUGCCGCAGUUAACACAAUAAGUAAUCCACCUGGGGAGUACGACCGCAAGGUUGCAACUCAAAUGAA
rnacentral:rRNA from 1 species